AGCUCAAUAUUUGUUUAGUUUUUAAACGAUACAAACUCAAAUUAUACAAUUAAACUUAAAAACAUCAUCUAGAACAACUUAAAAGAUAUACUGCAGUAACUAAACAUCAGCAAACAAACAACAUGUCAAAUACGCAACAAAUUCUCAUUAUCUAAAAUCAAGAACAGGAUAGAAAGAAAUAAGAGAAACAAGAUAAAAUUUGGACCUUAAAGGGUUUUCGCCAAAUAGAAAUUCGGAUCUAAUUUUGGAGCGCAAUCGGAAAAUCAGCAAAAAACCAACGAACUGAAAUCCGAUAAACUGAAAUUCAACUGCAAUGAACCUCGAACCGGCAACCAAAAUCAGUAAACUUCCAAACCUCAAGCAAAUACCAUGAUUUUUGAUACGAAAACCGAAAUAAAAAAUGAAGAAAACAGAAGCUCAUUUAUAUAUAUAUAUAUAUAUAUAUAUAUAUAUAUAUAUAUAUAUAUUUGUUUCAGAUCUGUGUUCACAGCUCUGUGUGUAAGUGUGGUGGACGCUGCUAGAGUUCGUUGAAGAAGAAGGAGAAAAUGGCACUUCUUAGCUGAAGGGGGGUCUGCCGGCGUGGUCCUUGAGAGGAGUUAGGGCAGUUGUUCUUUUUUGUAUUAGGUUGAUGAUCGCUACUGGAUUCUGGGGUGUGCUUAAAGAUGGAGAUAGAGAAAGGAAGGGAAGUGGCAGGUAGCUGGUUGUUGUGGGUGUUCACCGGCGGAUUUCCGGCGGGUUUGAGAAGAUUGAUGGCAGCUGCUGGUGUUCUUGUUGAUGGCGGCAGGUUGGUGCUAGGGAAGGUUCAAGUUGAACGGCGUGGGAGAUGGAGGGGUCGUUCCUAAGGGUCCAUGACUUAUGGCUUUCUAGGGUUUUUUAGGGGUGUUAAAGGGUUAGAAGAAGAAGAAGAAUCCACGGCUGGGGGUUCCUUCAUAAGAUGAAGAAGAGGGAACGUCGGUGGGGAG